rnacentral:rRNA from 1 species
AUUGAACGCUGGCGGCAUGCUUUACACAUGCAAGUCGAACGGUAACAGGCCUUCGGGUGCUGACGCGUGGCGAACGGGCGGGUAAUUCACCGGAACGUGCCCAGCGGUGGGGGAUAACGCAACGAAAGCUGUGUUAAUACCGUAAGCGAUCUGAGGAUCAAAGCGGGGGACCAGGCAGCAAUGUUUGGCCUCGCGCCUUUGGAGCGGCCGAUGUGCGAUUAGGUAGUUGGUGGGGUAAAGGCCUACCAAGCCGACGAUCUGUAGCUGGUCAGAGAGGACGACCAGCCACACGGGGACUGAGACACGGCCCAUGCUCCUACGGUAGGCACCAGUGUGGAAUUGUGGACAAUAGGCGCAAGCCUGAUCCAGCAAUGCCGCGUGCAAGAAGAAGGCCUUCGGGUUGUAAACCACUUUUGUACGGUACGAAGAGGCUCUGGCUAAUACCUUGGGUUGGUGACGGUACCGGAAGAAUAAGCACCGGCUAACUACGUG